GACGAACGCUGGCGGCGUGCCUAAUACAUGCAAGUAGAACGCGGAAGGUGGAGCUUGCUCUUCUGGAUGAGUUGCGAACGGGUUAGUAACGCGUAGGUAACCUGCCUGUUAGCGGGGGAAAACUAUUGGAAACGAUAGCUAAUACCGCAUAACAGUAGAUGUUGCAUAGGAUUUGCUUAAAAGGUGCAGUUGCACCACUACCAUAUGUGGCUGCGUUGUAUUAGCUAGUUGGUGGGGUAACGGCUCACCAAGGCGACGAUACGUAGCCGACCUGAGAGGGGGCGCGGCGACGCUGGGACUGGAACGCGGCCCGGAACACCACGGGAGGGAGACGUAGGGGAUCUUUGGGAAUGGAAGGAAGGCUGAACGAGCAACGCCGGGUGAGUGAAGAAGGCUUUAGGGUCGUAAAGCUCUGUUGGAAGUGAAGAUCGAGUGUGAGAGUGGAAAGUGCAGAUUGUGACGGUAUCUUAAGAGAAAGGGACGGCUAACUACGUG
rnacentral:rRNA from 1 species